UAGGGAAUCUUCCACAAUGGACGCAAGUCUGAUGGAGCAACGCCGCGUGAGUGAAGAAGGUUUUCGGACCGUAAAGCUCUGUUGUUGGUGAAGAAGGAUAGAGGUAGUAACUGGCCUUUAUUUGACGGUAAUCAACCAGAAAGUCACGGCUAACUACGUGCCAGCAGCCGCGGUAAUACGUAGGUGGCAAGCGUUGUCCGGAUUUAUUGGGCGUAAAGCGAGCGCAGGCGGAAGAAUAAGUCUGAUGUGAAAGCCCUCGGCUUAACCGAGGAAUUGCAUCGGAAACUGUUUUCUUGAGUGCAGAAGAGGAGAGUAGAACUCCAUGUGUAGCGGUGGAAUGCGUAGAUAUAUGGAAGAAUACCAGUGGCGAAGGCGGCUCUCUGGUCUGCAACUGACGCUGAGGCUCGAAAGCAUGGGUAGCGAACAGGAUUAGAUACCCUGGUAGUCCAUGCCGUAAACGAUGAGUGCUAAGUGUUGGGAGGCUUCCGCCUCUCAGUGCUGCAGCUAACGCAUUAAGCACUCCGCC
rnacentral:rRNA from 1 species